rnacentral:rRNA from 1 species
UACAGAGGUCUCAAGCGUUGUUCGGAUUCAUUGGGCGUAAAGGGCGCGUAGGCGGCGGGGUAAGUCGGGUGUGAAAUCUCAGAGCUCAACUCUGAAACUGCACUCGAUACUGCUCUGCUUGAGGACUGGAGAGGAGACUGGAAUUCACGGUGUAGCAGUGAAAUGCGUAGAUAUCGUAAGGAAGACCAGUGGCGAAGGCGGGUCUCUGGACAGUUCCUGACGCUGAGGCGCGAAGGCCAGGGGAGCAAACGGG